UGUGGUUUAAUUCGAAGCAACGCGAAGACCUUACCAGGUCUUGACAUCCCGAUGCUAUUCUAGAGAUAGAAAGUUACUUCGGUACAUCGGUGACAGGUGGUGCAUGGUUGUCGUCAGCUCGUGUCGUGAGAUGUUGGGUUAAGUCCCGCAACGAGCGCAACCCCUGUGGUUAGUUGCCAGCAAGUAGCGUUGGGCACUCUAGCCAGACUGCCGGUGAUAAAUCGGAGGAAGGUGGGGACGACGUCAAAUCAUCAUGCCCUUUAUGUCCUGGGCUACACACGUACUACAAUGGCCGUUACAACGGGAAGCGAAGGAGCAAUCCGGAGCAAAUCCCUUAAAGGCGGUCCCAGUUCAGAUUGUGGGCUGAAACUCGCCCACAUGAAGGCGGAAUUGCUAGUAAUUGCAGAUCAGCAUGCUGCAGUGAAUACGUUCCCGGGCCUU
rnacentral:rRNA from 1 species